rnacentral:rRNA from 1 species
AACGAACGCUGGCGGUAUGCCUAACACAUGCAAGUCGAACGAACCCUUCGGGGUUAGUGGCGCACGGGUGCGUAACGCGUGGGAAUCUGCCCUUUGCUUCGGAAUAACUCAGGGAAACUUGUGCUAAUACCGGAUGAUGUCUUCGGACCAAAGAUUUAUCGGCAAGGGAUGAGCCCGCGUAGGAUUAGGUAGUUGGUGGGGUAAAGGCCUACCAAGCCGACGAUCCUUAGCUGGUCUGAGAGGAUGAUCAGCCACACUGGGACUGAGACACGGCCCAGACUCCUACGGGAGGCAGCAGUGGGGAAUAUUGGACAAUGGGCGCAAGCCUGAUCCAGCAAUGCCGCGUGAGUGAUGAAGGCCCUCGGGUCGUAAAGCUCUUUUACCAGGGAUGAUAAUGACAGUACCUGGAGAAUAAGCUCCGGCUAACUCCGUG